UCACAAGCAUCAUCCUCACAUGAAGCAUCAGAUAUAUCCAGCUCCUUAUUGAUAUCUGCAUCUGACUUUUCUUGUGGAAUUGAGCAGUCAGAAAAGUUUUUAUCCUUGUUAUCCUUGCAGUUCCUUUCAUAUGAAUCAGAGACCAAAAAAAAAAAAGAUAUUAACUAUUCGAUCCAUUCUUGCAAUUAAAAUUGGUCUACCAACAAAACUACUUGAACAUACAUUUCAUUAUUUUCCACCAAGAACAUUUAAACUCUUUAGUCACCGAAUUUUGAAGUAACCUAUCUCCAUGCAAUUAAGAAGAGUCGACAAGUAAUUGAUAUUUUGUAAUUUCCACCUAAUGUAAGGAAAUGUUUAACACCCAAAAAAUUAUGAAAGCUUUCCUUCAAAAUUAGUUCUGAAACUAAGCAGUAUUGACAUGUUCAAAAUUCAAUUAUAU
rnacentral:lncRNA from 1 species